rnacentral:rRNA from 1 species
UACGUAGGGUGCAAGCGUUUGUCCGGAAUUAUUGGGCGUAAAGAGCUCGUAGGCGGUCUGUCGCGUCGGCUGUGAAAACCCGAGGCUCAACCUCGGGCCUGCAGUCGAUACGGGCAAACUAGAGUCGUUGCAGGGGAGACUGGAAUUCCUGGUGUAGCGGUGAAAUGCGCAGAUAUCAGGAAGAACACCAAUAGCGAAAAGCAGCUCUCUGGGGACGG